UUCUUCUAUUUGGUUUACCCAUUUCCCCCUUUAAAAAUUGGUUGGCGCUCUUUUAUUAUCCUCUUUGAUUAUCAUUUUAUUAUCCUUUUUUAUUAUCUUCUAUUUAAUAUAUCUCUUUCAUUUAAAUCAUCAUACUGAACAUACCUCGUAUAUUCAUACUCUCCAAAUAUCUGUAUUUUCAAUACGGAACAUGCCGCUACUUCAUAGUACUUGGUUGUCAUUUUAAACGUCGUUUUCAAUGACAGUGUCACUUCAUCGACUUGACCCCCUACUCCCUGACAUACACUGGAAGGGAAAAAUUAAUCCUUAAAAAGGCAUGUAAUUCGAAAAAUAAAUCAUUUCUAUUUCAACAAAUCAUCUUCCUCUUGGGGUGAGCUACAAAUAGUUUUUUAUAAUAAUUUCUUACAGUAAUUAUAUUUCUCCAUCUAACAGUUUUUAUAUUGUUUUUUUAUCUAACCUAACUUCCAAUGUCAGACCAUGUGUUCUGAUAUUUUAGUUUCAAAUAUAAUUAUCUUUUAAUUUACAUGUAUGCACGUUUAGUAAUCAGGAUUUUAACUAUUCUCAUCUAAAUUUCAUUUGAUUUAUUCUUGUCAUCUGCUACUCUUUCUGACGAUUAGAACGGCAGAUGGCACACGUUGGUUUUUCUUCUUGAUGAUUGAUAUGUGUCUCUAUUUUAUAGUUUUUUGGAAAGAAACCACUUUUCUUCCUCCGGGAGUUUCAACAACCCUCAAAUCGCCGGCGAUACAACAACGAGGACCAUGUCAUCAGGGCUGCAACCACAUAACCAAGACUGCAACGACCAACAUCCGUAGGCCUGGUGGAAUACAACACCUACAACCCCAGAGCCCGUUGCAGAACCAGCAGCAGUACCAUACGACAUCAAGAAGAUACCAUCAGCUACCAAAAGCCAUAAGUAUAAUCCAGAAUUGUUAGUUUUUGGCAAGAAUUUAAAUACAUUUGUUAAUGCAAUUUACUGAGUCAUUUUAUUUAUUAUAUCUUUAUGAACAAUAAACAUGAUUAGUUAAAAACUAUGUUUUGUUUGCUUCCAUUCCAAUUCUCAGAGUUCAUAUCUAAGGUUAGGACAAGACGAACACACACCUGAGUGACUGAGCUAAGCUAAGGGUGUAACGAUGGCUAUCUUGGUUAGUUGAGGUAAUAUUUUCGAAUAUUGUUUCAAUUAGCGGGGUAGUCCAACGCGUUUUUCGUUACACUGGCGCACCAACGCACUUGUCUUAUCCGAAGAAUCGAGCUGUGAGUGUGUGGUUUGGUAGCAGACAACAAGCAUUAAUAAAUACUAUUUUCUUAUAUUUCAUUUUUAUAUUCAAUUUUUGCAGUAAAUCUAUAUAUAUUAUCUAUUUUGGUACUUUUUGACUAAUUUUUAUAUAUUUUCACAUGUUAUGGGUCAAAAAGUAUUACCAGUUUCAAUAAUUUAAUUAUAUAUUUCAGCAUAAUUGAUUUAAAAUACAUUUACAGUUGCAAAUAUUGGUAUUUUUAACAUUUUGAUACUUUUUCCCUACUUUUUUUGGCUAAUUUUUAUGUUAGGACCUUGAUAGUAAUGUCCACAUGGCAUUUUUCCUGUUUUUUUUCAAUUCAACCAGUUUUUUUUGGUAGUUCUUCUUUAAUUACUUUCUUAUUUUAUUGUAACUUUCCAAAACCCAAGAGAAUUUUUCCAUUUAUUGUCAUAUUUUCUGUCCUUUUUAUACGUACUAUUUCUUCUACGUUCUUUUUACACAUACUACUGUGUACUCUAAAGUGCAUUUAAAUCUUGUUUUAUUACUUAUUUUCAAUUACUUUUUACUUAUUCUUAUAUUUCCUAGUUGUUUUCAUAUAUUUAUUACCAAUUUUGUACAACUACCAAAAAUUUUGUUGUUUCCGUCGAACUUUCUGUUCGGAUGGUAUAUACUACUUUACUUGUAUAGUAAAGACUAGGACAAUUUUCAAGUUCUUUUCUUUCAUUGAGGUAUUUUAUUCUUAUUCUUCUUCUUUACGUAUUCAGAAUAUUAAUUUAAAUCAUUCUUCUUCUUCUUGUGUUGAAUCUCAAAAAAUUUUUUGUUCGUAAAGCAUGAUAUUUUACAUUUUUCAAUUUUUUGCAUUAUUGCACUUAUAUUAAUUAUGAUAAACAUUAUAUUUAACAUCUUUUUUAUUUAACAAUGCCCUAUUUAUCUAUAUAUUAUUGUUUUAUUAUUUUAUUUUGGGUGUUGUACUGAUUUUUGAUACAGAUUAGCAUGAAAGCCUCAUCCGGCACUUAUAAGUUGUGUAUGGCUUAUAUAUAUAGCUGCAUAGACACCUAGUGUUUUUUUUUCCUAGGGUACAUAUAAGUUAUCCAUAGGGUUGGGCCAGAUCUAUUGAGUCUGAGUUCCGUUUUUUUGGUCUUAAUGACUGUUGAUAUACAGUUUAAUGCUGUAUAUUAUUUUUAGGAUGAUGUCUUUUAUAAAUUUUUUCUUUUGGAGUUCAAACAAUUCUAUGCAUAUCUACUUUUAGAAAUCUGGUGUAGAAUUGUGGCGCUUUGAAGUAUGAUUGUAGUUUAGCUACUAGCAUUUGUUAUUUUCCAUCUUUGCAAAUCAUAUUUAUGCAUUUUUAUACAUAUAUUUUGUUCUUUAGUGUAGAUCCCUGGUAUGCAUUUGAUGGAAGUAGCAUUUGCAUUAUGUAUCAUUAUCUCUCUCUCUUUAUUAACUUAUUGGUUAAGUCUUUUAGGACUGGUUUUAUGCAGUUUUUUCAAACCCUUUGGUGUAGAACUUUGUCUUAUUUGGCUUUCCAUAUAGUUAGUACUUAUUUUUUUUUAAUAGUUUAUCUAUAGUUGCACUUGCAUUUCUUUUCAUUAUUAUACUUAUGUUAUCUUUAUCUACUUAUAUGCUUUUACUCACCUUAUCAUAUUGAUUAUUAUAUUAUUACCUUACUUUAGGUACUUGUUAUCCGAGUACUUGUUAUUUUGUUCGAGAUUCAGUUGUUGUUAGUAGCUCCAAUAGCUAUUUAUUUAUUUUAUAUAGGAUGUGAUAUCCCUUAUAUUUACUUAAAUUUGGUUAUUAUAUGUCUUUUAUUUUAUAUAAAUGCCAGAAUAUUUGCAAUGCAAUUCAUUUUUUAUGUCUACAUUAUUUGACUGUGAAUACUUACUUACUUUUGGAUUAUUAGUUAAAUUUGAUUAUUACUUACACUUUAUACGAUAAGUCUUUAUAAUUUUGAAUUAAUUUCAUACUUUUUUAAAGUACAUUUAUUUUUUUUACCCAGAGAUAGAUAUUCUCUGAUGUCAUUUAUUUAUAAUAAAUAUUUUAUAGUGUGAUGAAUGCUACAAUUCAUUGGGUAAUAUUUUUAUUUUCCCCAGAGUAACAUCUGAAAAUUAUUUUGGUACUUUAAAAUUUUUUAUGAUUAAUAAUUUAAAUUAACUAUAUACAUUGACUUAAUAAUUACUUUAUUAUGAGUAUUUAUUUUUGAUUUGUUUUGAACGAUUACUACUGCAUAGGUAUAUUUAUUUCUGGUUAGAACUUUGAUUUCUUGUUUUCCUUGAGAAAAAUUUCUCACCUGUGUUCGAAAUUUUUCUGAUGAGUGGAGGGAGUGUGUAACAUUCCUGUUUUCUGUGAGAAAAAUUUCUCACGUGUGUUCAAAAUUUUUCUGAUGGGUGAGAGGAGUGUGUAACGUUACAAACGUCACAUCUUUGAUAUUUUGUUUUUAAAUAAUUAUUUUACCUUAUUUUCUUUAAUAUUUCAUUAAUAAUUAUCUUCUUCUAUUUGGUUUACCCAUUUCCCCCUUUAAAAAUUGGUUGGCGCUCUUUUAUUAUCCUCUUUGAUUAUCAUUUUAUUAUCCUUUUUUAUUAUCUUCUAUUUAAUAUAUCUCUUUCAUUUAAAUCAUCAUACUGAACAUACCUCGUAUAUUCAUACUCUCCAAAUAUCUGCAUUUUCAAUACGGAACAUGCCGCUACUUCAUAGUACUUGGUUGUCAUUUUAAACGUCGUUUUCAAUGACAGUGUCACUUCAUCGACUUGACCCCCUACUCCCUGACAUACACUGGAAGGGAAAAAUUAAUCCUUAAAAAGGCAUGUAAUUCGAAAAAUAAAUCAUUUCUAUUUCAACAAAUCAUCUUCCUCUUGGGGUGAGCUACAAAUAGUUUUUUAUAAUAAUUUCUUACAGUAAUUAUAUUUCUCCAUCUAACAGUUUUUAUAUUGUUUUUUUAUCUAACCUAACUUCCAAUGUCAGACCAUGUGUUCUGAUAUUUUAGUUUCAAAUAUAAUUAUCUUUUAAUUUACAUGUAUGCACGUUUAGUAAUCAGAAUUUUAACUAUUCUCAUCUAAAUUUCAUUUGAUUUAUUCUUGUCAUCUGCUACUCUUUCUGACGAUUAGAACGGCAGAUGGCACACGUUGGUUUUUCUUCUUGAUGAUUGAUAUGUGUCUCUAUUUUAUAGUUUUUUGGAAAGAAACCACUUUUCUUCCUCCGGGAGUUUCAACAACCCUCAAAUCGCCGGCGAUACAACAACGAGGACCAUGUCAUCAGGGCUGCAACCACAUAACCAAGACUGCAACGACCAACAUCCGUAGGCCUGGUGGAAUACAACACCUACAACCCCAGAGCCCGUUGCAGAACCAGCAGCAGUACCAUACGACAUCAAGAAGAUACCAUCAGCUACCAAAAGCCAUAAGUAUAAUCCAGAAUUGUUAGUUUUUGGCAAGAAUUUAAAUACAUUUGUUAAUGCAAUUUA